GUGCUUGCUUUGGUAGCACAUGUACUAAAAUUGGAACGAUACAGAGAAGAAUAGGAUGGCCCCUGCGCAAAAAGCUAAGACACUUUCAGGGACUGGUGACCAAUAAUUUA